AAAUAAGAAGUAAAAUUUACAUUUAGUUUCGACCUAAAAAUUUGAUAUUAUAAUAUCCUUGUUUA
rnacentral:tRNA from 1 species